rnacentral:lncRNA from 1 species
GAAAAUACCAAUAAAAUAGCAUCCCAAAUUAUAGCAGAGUGAACUUCUCGAAAUUAUAUUGUAUGUCCAAUCAGUUGGAUCAACACAUUAAAUUUUAAUUUUAAGGGUGAACUAAAAACCAGAAGGGGUCUCUUUUUCGAGGUGGUAUAUGGGUAUUUUCCGUCAUCGGGAAUAACAUUUAAAGAAGCGCCAGGAGUCUUUCUAUGUGCAGCAGUGCCCAGAACAUUGCGGGUACAGUAAAAGAGUACCAAAGAUCAUGAGGAUGGUGGAGGAAGCUUCUGGAUAAGACCUUUGUGUGCCAGCAGUGUGAAUUUUGCGCCGUGACGGCAAGGAGUACGUCUGAACAUCGGAAAUGCCCGCCACAGUGACUAUAAAACACUCGUCUUCUGCCUAUACAUAUGUACAAAUUUAUGG